UACGAAGGGGGCUAGCGUUGCUCGGAAUCACUGGGCGUAAAGCGCACGUAGGCGGAUUGUUAAGUCAGGGGUGAAAUCCUGGAGCUCAACUCCAGAACUGCCUUUGAUACUGGCGAUCUUGAGUCCGGGAGAGGUGAGUGGAACUGGCGAGUGUAGAGGUGAAAUUCGUAGAUAUUCGCAAGAACACCAGUGGCGAAGGCGGACUCACUGGCCCGGUACUGACGCUGAGGUGCGAAAGC
rnacentral:rRNA from 1 species